GGGAGGGGAGGGGAGGGAAGAGAGAAAGGAAAGGGAAGGGUUAGAAGGAAGAUAAAAAAAAAGAAGGAAGAGGAGGGGGAAGGGAGGGAGAGGAGAAGAGAGAAGGAAAGGGAAGGGAAGGGAAAGAGGGCCACCCAGAAUGCAUUGUUCUUUUGAUGGAGAUGGUGAAAGGAACCCGUGUCUCUGGGGAAUUAGGAGGAUCAGUGCAGGAAACAAGACAGCUAGUGGGCAGGAGGCCACACAUGGCUACUUAUGGCUCCAAGAAUAUUAUUAAUGCAGGAACAAGCACAACAUGUAUUUGAGUUAUCUGCAGCUGAGCUCUUGUGAGCUAGGUAGAAUUGACAGCAUGGGGUCAAGAGCAGUUUUCUAGGUAUCUAUACUCAUUUUAUAGCUCUUGGCACUGGGGUGCCACAUCUCCUCUCUCCAUUUGUGUCUUAAUACUUCCAAAGGUGGUUGGUGCUUAAGCUCUUGGACCAUAAGGAAAACAAGAGGUGCCUCUGUUUAAAAGCCUUGCAGAGAAAAAUGGAUCAAAGGUGUCAGCGAGAGUGAGGUGGGCCAGCUCAUCUAAAAAACAGCUCAAGUGCAUUUACUGGAAACUUGAUUUUAAAUACUUUGUGCUGGUCAGCUGGAGCUGAGACAUUAGCUGUGAUUAAGAAGAGACAAGCAUCAUGGAACUGAAAUCUUCUGGGAAGUAUUUCCUCGGAGUCAGCACACGGAAGCUGGGUUCCAGAUGUGGCCAAGGUUGUGCUUCGAACUGGUAGCCAAACUAAGUAAUGUGUAAGAGUCACCCAGGUGGUGCCAGUUUUGACAGUGUGAAGGGGUCAUGGGCAGCAGCCGAGUCUCGGUACUGUGUGGCAGGGUUGGAGUCCCUAAGAGAGCCCAGAAGAGGCUAUUGGUGAAAGCACAGCCCAGCUGCAGCAGAAGACGCUAGCAUUUGGGAGAUGGUAGUACCAUGUGAUGACCACCAAGAAGAGCAGCAAUGGAGCAGACUCAGCCAGAGCCUGGAAAACAAGCUGUGUGUCACAGAGGGCAGAGCUAGAAAAAUGACUCGGGCCCCUUGGAGGAGCCCAGAGGAUCAUGAGUGAAUCAUAGAUAACUGGGCAUUACGUUAUUUACACUGGAGUUUGGUUUUGCUUUGUUUAGAUGGUGACUAUACCCUGGUUCUUCCCUCUUGAAAUAAGAAUUUAAUUUAUUAUGGAUAUGAUAGGAGCCCACAACUGAGAGACUUUGGAUUUUUCAAAGAGACUUGAUUUCUAAGUGUUUGAACGUGUAAAGACUGCAGGACUUUUUAAGUCUAUGAACUGUUUCAUAUUGUGAUGCUGAUGUUAAUAUGUGAUCUCAGGAGUGGAUAGGAAGGGAAAGGUUGUAGCUUAACAGUUCUGUGUUUGUCAAGCUGACAAGGGGUUGAUUGUUCUGGUGAGUUUUGUGUCAAUCUGGCACAAGCUACAUUCAGCUGAGAGAAGAAACUUCAAUUUAAAAAUGCCUCCAGAGGGGCUGGAGAGAUGGCUCAGCGGUUAAGAGCACUGACUGCUCUUCCUAAAGGUCCUGAGUUCAAAUCCCAGCAACCAUAUGGUGGCUCACAACCAUCUGUAAUGUGAUCUGAUGCUCUCUUCUGAAGACAGCUACAGUGUACUUAGAUAUAAUAAUAAAUAAAUCUUUAAAAAAAAUUUAAAAAUGCCUCCAGAAUAUGGGGCUGUAGGCAAGCCUGCAGGGUAUUUUCUUAAUUAGUGAUUGAUGAGUUGGGGGGGGGGGCAAACCAUUGUAGGUGGGCCACAAUGUCCUGUGCUUUGUAAGAAAGCAGGUGGACUGAGCCAUGAAAACCAAGCCAGUGAGCAGUGUUUGUUUCUGCUUCCGUUCCUGCCUUGAGUUCCUGCCCUGACUUCCCCUGAUGAUAGACUAUCAACUGUAAGAUGAAAUAAAC
rnacentral:lncRNA from 1 species